rfam:Agrilus planipennis Contig43920, whole genome shotgun sequence.
AGUUGACAAUAAUGCAUUUAGAUAGAAACGAGUAUGAAGUAGGCGACUGAAGAGGACCUUAAUUGGUCCUAAAACGGCCUGAGGUAGAGGGGUAUUAGUCGGUAGGUCCGAGGACUUCUUCCUCGGGAAUCCGACACUACCCAGUCGUACGGACGGCUGGGUGUCUUCUGAAGAUUUCCCCUCUUCCACGAAA